CUUUGUGAAACAAUCAUUUAUUUCUAAAAUUUUAAACCGAGAGAAAAUAAUAUUUUUAAAAAAUAAUUGCUUAUAUAUUUCUGAAAAAUUCUUGACUUUUUUACUUACCCCACCUAAAAGGCUUAUAUUAAAAAAUACUCUUUUAAUAAAAGGCUCUAAGUUUUUUCAAAUAUAUUCUUAAAAUUAAAUUUUGUUUGUAAACUAUUAUGAAUAGUCUUAUCUCUGUGAAAUUAUUAUUUUGCCCUUUUAAGUAUAUUUUUUUAUAAUCACCAAAUUUUAUUAUUUGCUCUUAAGUUAUGAGUAAAAAAAAGUAUUUUUACUAUUUCUUAACUACAGUGAAAAUUUAACUCAGCUUUAAUCCGAGAUAACUUAAGACGGCUAUAUUUAAAACAAAAAAAUAAAAUUAAAUAAGAUAUUUUAAAAAAUUUUGAGAGGUACAUAGACAAUUAAUAUUUCUAUAU
rnacentral:lncRNA from 1 species